rnacentral:lncRNA from 1 species
GUAUGAAAACUGUAGCUGGUAGCAUAACAGGUGGUACAAGAGUGAUCCAAGAGAUGUUGGACUUCUGUGCUGCUAAUAAAAUUUACCCCGGGAUCGAAGUAAUUCCAAUUCAGUAUAUAAAUGAAGCUCUUGAGAGGAUGGUAAAGAACGACGUGAAGUACCGGUUUGUGAUUGAUAUUGAGAACUCCUUGAAGUGAUAGCAUGGAGGCAACCAGGGAAAUCUCCUCAUUUCAUGCAUACGGUCAUAAUAUGCAUGUUGGAUGCCAGGGGGUUUUCUUCUAUGAAAUAUAUUUGGGUUUGACCUAUCCUUGCUGUUGUUGAAAUAAUGAUCCAGAAUUUUGCGAAUGAAUCAUUUAUAUCCAGAAAUAACAAUAUUUUUUAUCUAUAGUUUGAUCAAAUGUAGCACUCUAUCCAAUAAAAGAAAGAGCAGUUUAUGUAAUUUUAGAGUGUCCUUCCUUGUCUCUCUUUUGAUGCUUCUGUGUACUGUUACUUCCAAGUAUCACAUGAUUAUGUUUUAUUACAUGCAAAGAGUUAUUAACUUCAUGAUUUGUUGCGGUUUACUCUUUUUAUGAUUAUUUCAGUCUCAUGAUCAAUUUGAUAGGUUAACCUGUUUUGCUUGGUUUGUUUUCCUUUUUUAAUUGGUAUUUUUUUUUUUUAAUUUCAUCCUUCAAUAUUAGGUUGGUUACUAGUUAGGCUUCAUGGUUUAUUUUAGUUUAUUUUUUAUAGGUUGUCCUGGUCUCAUAACCCGGAUCAUGAGUUUUGCAUGUUAACUCAAGUUGACUCAAAUUGUUUUAUUCUCUUUUUACAAAUAAUUUUUUUCUUCAAUUUUACCCUUCAAUAAUGGGUUGAUUAGGAAUUGUAAAUCAUAAUUUGUUUUAAUUUGCUAUAUAUAGGGUUAUCCUAGUCUCAUGACUUACAUGUUUGAUAGGUUAAUUGGGGUUGACUCAAAUUGUUUUUUGAGAUUUCUUUUUAUGUGUCUAUCAUUGUCUCAUAACUCAAGUCUGACUUUGGCAGGUUAACUUGAGUUUACUCAGGUCGUUUGUUUUAUUCCUUUUCUAAUUGAUUUUUUUUCUAGUUUCGUCCUUUAACAUUGAGUUGAUUGAGAAUUGAACUUCAUAAUUUUUUUAAUUUACCUUAUAUGAGGUUAUCGUAGUCUAAUGUAGGUUGUGAAUUUUUCAGGUUAACUCAAGUUAACAUGCGCCAAUUUAAUAUAUUAUCGUCUCAAUAUUAAAUAAAAAGAUGUUGAUUUUAAUUUUUUUUAAUCAAAUUAUAUUUUUACUGGUUAUAUAAAUUAUUUUUGGACUUAUCAAAUUAAUAAAAUAACAUCGAGUCAACGAUUAAAAAUUUGUUUUAUUAGGAAAAUGUCAGAAACAUCUAAAUAUUUUUUAAAAUUUUUUUAUUUAUUCAACUUGCAGUAUAGCUUGUGAAAUCAAUCUAGUUUAUAGUGUUACUUGAUUUGCGUGUCAUCCCUGCUGAUGCUAAUCUUCCGUUGCAAUUUUAUCUGAUGUCCCCGAAGGAAGACUUCUGCAUCCCUUUCUCUUCGUGGAUAAACCAUGCCUUUAGUUUUCUACAGAACCGAUGUGCGAUCCUCGUUACGUAAGAAACCUGGGCUUCAACAUUAUUAACAGGGCCAGCUUCGUGCUUGGGCCUAACCCCCUGCGACUCUGACAAAAAAAAUAAUAUUUUGUUUCUCUUCUUGAAUUCCCAAAUAUCUUCUCUCAGGUAAUCCUUAAAAAUUCUGUUCAGGGUUAUUGGAGGAAGGAUGUUAUUUGGACGCUGACAUGGAGGAACUGAACAACAUCCCCAAUUUCAAGGCUGGUGACCAUGUCAUGUCGUACUCGCCAUUUAACGAGAAUGGUUCCAUCUUUUAAUAAUAUCUUAGCUGACGAACAUGCUUUGGUAAGAUCUUAGCUGACGACCAUGCUUUGGUAAGACCUGGCAGAACCUUAGCUUAUUUAAGAGUCGCACUUCAACGCUUAUUUUUCGUACGGACAAACAGAACACAAUCAAUUUACCACUCUUGCUUCUCAACUGCUUCACAGCACUACAUCUUUGCAGUAAUAACAGAAUCUCUUUCAAUUUGAUAUCUAGUAUUUCUCUGCGAAUUUGUUAUUUAUGGCGUUCACUUUGAUUGCCCUUUUAUCUAAAUCUUGCUUAGAAUUACAUUUCAAUCCCAUCUUAGAUUCAUAUGUUGCUGUAUGUCUUCAAACAUUAGUUACAAUCAAAUCUAGAGGCAAGUUCCAUUCAAAAGCAUUUCAAUCUUUCUUUUUUUUUUUUCAAUUUACUGUGCAAUUUAUUAGUUAUGUCCCUAGACGGUGAUGAUGUUUGAAGAUUAUUAUUUUAUUUAUUACUGUUACCAUAUCUUUUUCUUGUUUUCCAUACCUUGGGAAACUGAUGUGCCAUGGCUUUUAUGGUGAUUUAGUUAAUUCUACUUGGCAAUGAGCUCUGAGGGUGUUAAAGAUGACUGUCUUGCGUGGGCAGCGGGAGACCCUUCUGGAGUCCUUUCUCCUUACAAGUUUAGUCGCAGGUAUGCUUUAGGUUUUCCCUUGAAAGUUGACUUCCGUUUUUUACAUGCAAUGUUUAUACCAGCCGUUGCGAUUUACAGCCUAAGAUUUCGAAUAAGAGUUUUUCGAUUAAUUCAUGGAGGUUUUGUCAUGUAUAAGCUAGAAGAACUGGUGACAAAAUGUUUGCUUUCUUCAAUAGAUUCUGUAUUGUUUGUUGAAAAUAACAAUCAAAGUCACGAGCUGUUUGAUGUUGUUACCAAGAAUGAAUUGGUUGUACGUCUGCAUUUCUUUCUUCUUCUUUUUUUCUUUUGUAACCGUUGGCUAAAGGUAAUCUGGGAAAUUCUAUCCAGGGCUCUUGGAAAAGAUGAUGUUUCGCUAAAAAUAACGCACUGUGGAGUUUGCUAUGCUGAUGUUAUCUGGAGUAAGAACAAGCAUGGAGAUUCGCGCUAUCCAUUGGUGCCCGGGUAUGUGGUCUAAUUGAAUAAUAUCACUAACUUUGAUGAUGAAACUAAUUUUAUAGUUUUAUUAAACUUAAGUAGUUAUGUUUAUUCGCUUACAGACAUGAGAUUGCUGGAAUUGUAAAGGAAGUUGGAUCCAGUGUCAGCAACUUCAAGGUUGGUGACCAUGUUGGAGUAGGCACUUACGUUAAUUCUUGCAGAGAAUGUGAGCAUUGCAAUGACAAGGAAGAAGUUAGUUGUGAAAAAGGAUCAGUUUUCACUUUUAAUGGCAUUGAUGCUGAUGGUUCGAUUACAAAGGGUGGAUAUUCUAGCUACAUCGUUGUCCAUGAAAGGUAAAUACUUUUGUAAUUUCUGUCUUUGUUCUUAUAUUUUCUGUUUAUUUUGUUAUACAUCAAGAAAUUUAGAGAUGAACUAUCCAUGAGAAAUAAGUUGACUUUGCUGUUGCUUUGUCACCAUGAAAUUCCAAUGAUUUGCCGUAUUUCAGAGCCUAGCCAUCUUCAGUAUCAAAUAGUAAUAUAAUGCAUGUUCUUAGUGCAACGAUCUAACAUUAAAAAAAAAAAACAAAAGAAAAAUCAAUGCUAAGGCUUCUAGAGUUAAUAUGAUACUGUUGACCUAUUAAUCUGAUGUUUCGAAAAUUGAGCCAGCUUUCACUCCAUCGUUUGUGUUGAAUUUACAGGUACUGCUUUCGGAUACCUGAUGGUUAUCCUUUGGCCUCUGCAGCACCUCUGCUUUGUGCUGGAAUCACUGUGUACAACCCCAUGAUGCGACAUAAGAUGAACCAACCUGGUAAAUCUCUUGGAGUGAUUGGGCUCGGUGGUCUGGGUCACAUGGCAGUGAAGUUUGGCAAGGCUUUUGGCUUGAAAGUAACUGUUUUAAGCACAAGCGUAUCUAAAAAGGAGGAAGCCCUGAGUGUGCUCGGAGCAGACAAUUUCGUGAUUACAUCUGAUCAAGCGCAGAUGAAGGUGAAGUCACAAGAAUUUCUGGGAAGCAUGCUUUUAUCUAAUGACAUAAGUGAUAUAUUAAUAAUCAUGUUUGCUCCCUAUUUGCCUCUUGUUGAUUUCCUUUUUUGAUAUCUGAUAUCUUUUAUGCAGGCCUUGUACAAAUCACUAGACUUCAUAAUCGACACAGCAUCCGGCGAUCACCCAUUUGAUCCAUACUUGCUUUUGAAGACUGCUGGUGUUUUUGUUCUUGUUGGGUUCCCAAGUGAAGUCAAAUUCAGUCCUGCGAGCCUCAAUAUCGGUAACUUCCUCUAGCAAAUUUAGUUAGUUUUUUUCUAGCCGAACUUUCUGAUAGUCUUCCGUUGAUAUAAGAAAUUGCAAGCGGAAUUGAUUGCUUAACCUACCACACUGGCAGGUAUGAAAACUGUAGCUGGUAGCAUAACAGGUGGUACAAGAGUGAUCCAAGAGAUGUUGGACUUCUGUGCUGCUAAUAAAAUUUACCCCGGGAUCGAAGUAAUUCCAAUUCAGUAUAUAAAUGAAGCUCUUGAGAGGAUGGUAAAGAACGACGUGAAGUACCGUUUUGUGAUUGAUAUUGAGAACUCCUUGAAGUGAUAGCAUGGAGGCAACCAGGGAAAUCUCCUCAUUUCAUGCAUACGGUCAUAAUAUGCAUGUUGGAUGCCAGGGGGU